rnacentral:rRNA from 1 species
ACGAACGCUGGCGGCGUGCUUAACACAUGCAAGUCGAACGCUGAAGCUCAGCUUUUGUUGGGUGGAUGAGUGGCGAACGGGUGAGUAACACGUGAGUAACCUGCCCCCUUCUUUGGGAUAACGCCCGGAAACGGGUGCUAAUACUGGAUAUUCACUGGUCUUCGCAUGGGGGUUGGUGGAAAGGGUUUUUCUGGUGGGGGAUGGGCUCGCGGCCUAUCAGCUUGUUGGUGGGGUGAUGGCCUACCAAGGCUUUGACGGGUAGCCGGCCUGAGAGGGUGACCGGUCACAGUGGGACUGAGAUACGGCCCAGACUCCUACGGGAGGCAGCAGUGGGGAAUAUUGCACAAUGGGCGAAAGCCUGAUGCAGCGACGCCGCGUGAGGGAUGGAGGCCGUCGGGUUGUGAACCUCUUUCGCUCAUGGUCAAGCCGCAACAAUGGUUGUGGUGAGGGUAGUGGGUAAAGAAGCGCCGGCUAACUACGUG